GGUAGCCGGUGAAAGGACAAAGGUAGCAACAACCUGGGAAAAGCUGAAGCUCCAGGGAGGGAGGAUGGGUGAGCGCAGCUCCAUGACAGACACCUGCCCGCAGGCCCAGGGGCAGGUAGCAGAGUCCUGGCGUGGCUGGUGAUGGAUCUUCAGAAUUCUAGUUUCCACUAAUCCAGGACAACAAACCUUUCUACAGACCUGUCUAUUUCGAUAAGGUGACUGUGGUAUCUGAGCACCUACAGACAAUCAUCCUUCAGUUUCCAACAGACACCAGACCACCCCAGUCCCAUGUGUUUGGGCUUCUGCCAAAUGGGAAGGUAUCUUAGGCUGGGUAAAUACCUGUAGAAGGAUAUUUGCUUCAUCCGCGUGAGUUGCUCCAGGCAGAGAGGUGGAGCCGGAUGCAGCAGCUACGAAGGAUUAAUUUGGAUUCCUUUUGGUCCUGUGGAUACCUAUCCGUGCUGCUUUCCAUCUGCUGUAUUAUUCCAGCAUUUAAUUAUUUACCGUGGUCUGUGUGGGCAGCUGUAUAGAGGCAGUU